AGAAGCACAUUCCUCCCAGGGAGAAAGGGAGAAUCAAAGAGGAACAGGGAUACAGGGUAGAGAAUAGAGAAAUCAAAUGGAGAAUAAGAGGGUGUGAUUGAUGAAUAAGGGGUGGUGACCAGAAAAGAGGAGUUACAUUGAGGAGAAUGGAAAGUUGAAAGUAGGGAGCAGAGGAAGAGGCUGACAGGCAGGGAUGGAAACCCCCCUCUGGAGGCGGAAACAGGCAGGACCACUUCCGGCCAGGGAGGUGGGGGGGAUAAGCUCAGACCUAAGGAGAGGCUUGGAGAGAGCAGACGCCUUCUGGACUCAGGAGGACGAGGCUCAGCUGUUACUUGGCCUUCCAGACAGAUGGAUAAGAGAAAUGACUACAGUUAUAGGAUGCCUCCAUUCCAGGGCCCUCUGCCUCCCCCUGGGAGCCUGGGGCUUCCCUUCCCUCCAGAUGUACAGACUGAGACCACAGAAGAGGACAGUGUCUUGCUGAUGCACACCCUGUUGGCGGCAACCAAGGACCCUCUGGCCAUGGACUCAUCAGUUGCCAACCAGCCUAAGAAAAGCAGGACCAAGAAGGCCCCUAUAAAGACUAUUACUAAGGCUGCACCUGCUGCCCCUCCAGUCCCAACAGCCAAUGAAAUUGCCACUAACAAGCCCAGAAUAACUCUGCAGGUUUUAAACUUGCCAAUCAUCACCCAGAUUAGCCAGGUUUCAGCUAUCACUGGGGCAGCCAAUAUUCAGGCUUCUUCAAUCACUGCUCAGCCUAAGAAAGCCAACAGGAUGAAGAGAGUUACUGCCAAGGCAGCCCAAGGCUCUCAAUCCCCAACUGGCAGUCAGGUUGUCACUACACAGCUGAAGUCACCUUUGCAGGUCCUAAACCUACCAGUCAUCUCACAGACUAUCCAGGCUCCAACUGCCAGUGAGUCAGCCAAUUCCCAGGCUUUGAUAGCCUCCACCAAGCCUAAGAAAGCUUCUAAGGCCAAGAAGGUUGCAAACAAAGCCAUAGCUAAUGCCACUGAGAUGUCACCAGCUCCAAUUGCCACCUAUACAGCUACCACUCCAGGCCAAAUUAUCAGUGAGACAGUCAAUAUCCAGGCCACAGCAGCCUCCAUCCGAACCAAGAAAUCCUGUAAAGCCAAGAAGACAACUGCUAAGACCACAAAUACUGACACUGAGCAUAUAGGGGCUCCAAAUAUCACCAGACAGAUUGAAGCCUCAGCAGCAGCUAUCCGGCCCAAAAAAUCCAAGGGCAAGAAGGCUGCCAAUAAGGGCCCAAAUUUUGCCUCUGAAAUCUUUAAGGCCCCACCUGCCACUCAAAUGGUCACAAACCAAGCACUAGCAGCCAACCUUUGGGUCAAGAGAGGGUCUAGGGCUCAGAAUACUGCCACUAAGGCUCAGGUAACUGAAAGCCUGACUCAAAUUAGUGACCAAGGGGCAAAGGCCAAGAUGGCCACAGCUCAGACCACCAUAAGUGCCCUUGAGACACAGGUUGCUGCUGCUGUCCAGGCCCUGGCAGAUGACUAUCUGGCUCACUUAAGUCUGGAGCCCACGACCAGGACUCAGGGCAAGAGGAACCAAAAGUUCAGGCAUCUGAAUGGGGAUGAGAGAAGUGGCAGUAAUUACAGGCGGAUCCCAUGGGGCCGGAGGCCUCCACCACACCGAGAUGUGGCCAUUUUGCAAGAAAGGGCAAAUAAGUUGGUGAAAUACCUGUUGGUUAAGGACCAGACAAAGAUCCCCAUCAAGCGCUCAGACAUGCUGAAGGAUGUCAUCCAAGAAUGUGAUGAAUAUUUCCCAGAGAUCAUUGAACGAGCAAGCUAUGCUCUGGAAAAGAUGUUUCGAGUCAAUCUGAAGGAAAUUGAUAAGCAAAGUAGCUUGUAUAUUCUCAUCAACAAUCAGGAAUCCUCUGCAGGCAUACUGGGAACGACCAAGGACACACCCAAGUUGGGUCUCCUCAUGGUGAUUCUGAGUGUCAUUUUUAUGAAUGGCAACAAGGCCAGUGAGGCUGUCAUCUGGGAGGUGCUACGCAAGUUGGGGCUGCGCCCUGGGGUGAAGCAUUCACUGUUUGGGGAAGUAAGGAAGCUCAUCACAGACGAGUUUGUCAAGCAGAAGUACCUGGAGUACAAGAGGGUCCCCAACAGCAGACCACCUGAAUAUGAGUUCUUCUGGGGCUUGCGCUCCUACCAUGAGACUAGCAAGAUGAAAGUCCUCAAAUUUGCAUGCAAGGUGCAGAAGAAAGACCCCAAGGACUGGGCUGCUCAGUACCGGGAGGCAGUGGAGAUGGAAGUCCAAGCUGCAGCUGUGGCUGUGGCCGAGGCUGAGGCCAGGGCUGAGUGGUUCCAACACCAGCAAUGGCUUUACUGGAGAACCCAGCACCAGCACCGGUUUCAGUAGUAGACCCAGUUCUAUUGUUGGCUUCAGCGGUGGACCAAGCACUGGUGCUGGCUUCUGCAGUGGACCAAGCACCACUGGCUUCAGCAGUGGACCGAGCACCGGUGUUGGCUUCGGCGGUGGACCAAGCACCGGUACUGGCUUCAGCGGUGGACCGAGCACUGGUGCUGGCUUUGGUGGUGGAGCCACCAGCCUUGGUGCCUGUGGCUUCUCCUAUGGCUAGUGAGGUUUCAGGUUUAUUCCCCAGGUUUACAGAUACCGCUAAUGAAUUGCAGCAGUCCUUCCUGUGGAUUCAAGGUACAUCCAUGCAAUCUUUGUCCACACAUCAGUCUAAGCAGCUAUGACCAAUCAGCUGAGGGUGACAUACUAUGAAAAAUCUGUUUUCUGUUUCUGCUUUAUUGUUUGCUUUCUGUACGCUGUCAUAUUUUGCUAUCAGAGUUACAUUAAAUUUGCAAAAUGAA